rnacentral:pre_miRNA from 1 species
UGUUAAAAAUUUAAUCUAUCUCCAUUAUUAAAAACUACUGUAAAAGAUAAAAUAAUCAGAUAAUUACGUAUAAUGUGCCACAUGUACUUCAUACUGUCGUAUAAGAAUCAAUUUUUAAUAGUAAAAAUAAAUAAAAAUUUUAAUA